rnacentral:rRNA from 1 species
GCUCAGAUUGAACGCUGGCGGAAUGCUUUACACAUGCAAGUCGAGCGGCAGCGCGGGGCAACCUGGCGGCGAGCGGCGAACGGGUGAGUAAUACAUCGGAACGUGCCCAGACGUGGGGGAUAGCCCGGCGAAAGCCGGAUUAAUACCGCAUGUGAUCUGAGGAUGAAAGCGGGGGAUCGCAAGACCUCGCGCGUUUGGAGCGGCCGAUGGCAGAUUAGGUAGUUGGUGGGGUAAAGGCUUACCAAGCCUGCGAUCUGUAGCUGGUCUGAGAGGACGACCAGCCACACUGGGACUGAGACACGGCCCAGACUCCUACGGGAGGCAGCAGUGGGGAAUUUUGGACAAUGGGCGAAAGCCUGAUCCAGCCAUUCCGCGUGCAGGAUGAAGGCCCUCGGGUUGUAAACUGCUUUUGUACAGAACGAAAAGGCUUUUGCUAAUACCAGGAGCUCAUGACGGU